UACAGAGGGUGCGAGCGUUAAUCGGAAUUACUGGGCGUAAAGCGUGCGUAGACGGUAGCGUAAGUCGGGUGUGAAAGCCCCGGGCUCAACCUGGGAAUUGCAUUCGAGACUGCGUUGCUAGGGCGCGGAAGAGGGAAGCGGAAUUUCCGGUGUAGCGGUGAAAUGCGUAGAUAUCGGAAGGAACAUCAGUGGCGUAAGCGGCUUCCUGGUCCAGCACCGACGUUCAGGCACGAAAGCGUGGGGAG
rnacentral:rRNA from 1 species